rnacentral:rRNA from 1 species
GCCAGACUCCUACGGGAGGCAGCAGUGGGGAAUAUUGCACAAUGGGGGAAACCCUGAUGCAGCGACGCCGCGUGAGUGAAGAAGUAUUUCGGUAUGUAAAGCUCUAUCAGCAGGAACGAGACAAGACGGUACCUGACUAAGAAGCCCCGGCUAACUACGUGCCAGCAGCCGCGGUAAUACGUAGGGGGCAAGCGUUAUCCGGAAUCACUGGGUGUAAAGGGGGCGCAGACGGCAGCGCAAGCCAGGAGUGAAAGCCCGGGGCCCAACCCCGGGACUGCUCUUGGAACUGCGCGGCUGGAGUGCAGGAGGGGCAGGCGGAAUUCCUGGUGUAGCGGUGAAAUGCGUAGAUAUCAGGAGGAACACCGGUGGCGAAGGCGGCCUGCUGGACUGCGACUGACGUUGAGGCCCGAAAGCGUGGGGAGCAAACAGGAUUAGAUACCCGUGUAAA